rnacentral:lncRNA from 1 species
UAAGAAUCAAAUGCUUUUAGUACGCUAGAUUUUGGCUACCAAUUAACUUAAUUAGUUGAUUUUUCUAAAACACCCUCUUCACAAUGUGAGAAUACCCUUUCUACCACCCGCCCACUUUCCUCUACACAAAGUCAGAACACCCUUCAUAAAUACAUUUUGAUCUCUUUCACACUAAUACAUUUUUUCUACAGAGGUCACAAAUUAUGUGCUUGCACCGUCCAUUGGACGUCCACUAAGACAUCAAAUUGAAAUUGGGUCGACGUCAAGCGCACCUAAACCAACAC